rnacentral:rRNA from 1 species
CACGUAGGGGGCAAGCGUUGUCCGGAAUCAUUGGGCGUAAAGAGCUCGUAGGCGGCUCAGUAAGUCGGGUGUGAAACCCUCAGGCUCAACCUGGGGACGCCACCCGAUACUGCUGUGGCUAGAGUCCAGUAGGGGAGUGUGGAAUUCCCGGUGUAGCGGUGAAAUGCGCAGAUAUCGGGAGGAACACCAGCGGCGAAGGCGGCACUCUGGGCUGGUACUGACGCUGAGGAGCGAAAGCGUGGGGAGCAAACAGGG